rnacentral:lncRNA from 1 species
AUGAGCUGGAGCAUGAUAAGGAAGAGAAGAUUACAUUCACAAGGGAGCUUCAAGUGUUAGCUGUUAUGCCUAGCAGAAGACAAGACAAUAUGCAUGACAUUGGGUUUUGAGGGUGCCUGAUUAAGAGAUCACCAACAUAAGACUGAAUAAGCAAGAAUUCAAUGACUUGGAGGCACUUUCUGAAGACACAGUAUUGAACUCUGGCAAAGAUGCUAGAGGAUGAGGCAAAUUUACUUCUAGGGUGACACUUAGCAGUUGGAGAAAGUGAUGGUUCAUUCUGAGUGAAAUAGAAAUGCCUGAGUUGUCCUGGCAGAUAAUAGAGGCAGGAAUCAAAAGGCUCAAGGAGUUGGCACUCUGGCAUAGAUACGUUUUGUGAGGCUAACGGACUCACCAUAGGAUUAGGCUCUAUAGAAAGGCCCAGAGGACACCAUCUCCACCAAGGCCAUCAGAGAUGUGCUGUGUGAAGUCACAGCAUCAAUAAUAAGUUCAGCUGUGGGUUUCCCUAUAGACUAGAGAUGAUGGAAGGAGAAGCAGUCACAGAGUUAGGUUCAUUAAUGGCAAUGGGAUGAUAGAGCCCCCAAAUAAUAGAAGAAUUGUCAGUGCUUACCCAGUAGAGACCAGGCAGCUGUAAUUACCAUAACAACUGGUAAUGUAAAAGGGGCAGCCAAGGGAGCUUGACCCACAGAGAGUUGUGGAGAUGCUUAAUUGAACUUGGUGUCCCUAGGGGCAAAAUAGAUGGGCAACCAACAAGGAUGCUACUAAUAUCUAUAAUCAGAAGAAUGGGAGAAUGGAGGAAAAGCAUGUUCAGGGCUUGGCUCAGUUCCUGAACUUGAGCCAAUUUUCAGAUUUAGAACUCAGUAAAUAAAGAGAUGGUUGGGUUAUGGGGGAAGGACUCUGCAACACUCAAGUUCUGCCCCAAAGGAACCUAGACUAAACCUAUGACAAUAUCUGAGAGAAUGAAUGGAUA